AUGAUGCAGAUCUUCGUGAAGACGCCGACCGGGGAGACCGUGACGCUCGAGGUCGAGAGCUGCGCGGCCGUCGACAGCGUCAAGGCCAAGAUCCACGACAAGGAAGGUAUCCAGCCGGACCAGCAGCGCCUCAUCUUCGCGGGGAAGCAGCUCGACGAUGGCCGCACCCUGACCGACUACAGCAUCCACAAGGAGUCCACGAUCCACCUCGCGCUGCGCCUCGUCGGCGGUGGCAAGGGCGGGUUCUACCCCACCAGGAUGGAGCCUAACCUGCGCAUGCUCGCGCUCAAGUACAGGCAGCACAGGCUUGUGUGCCGCAAGUGCUAUGCACGCCUGCCCCUCAGGUCUGCCAACUGCCGCAAGAAGAAGUGCGGCCACAGCAAUGACAUCAGGCCCAAGGAGAAGCUGCGCCCCCACUGA
rnacentral:rRNA from 1 species